rnacentral:rRNA from 1 species
UACGUAGGGGGCAAGCGUUAUCCGGAAUUAUUGGGCGUAAAGCGUCCGCAGGUGGCACCUCAAGUCUGCUGUCAAAGACCGGGGCUUAACCCCAGAAAGGCAGUGGAAACUGAAGCGCUAGAGUGCAGUAGGGGUAGAGGGAAUUCCCGGUGUAGCGGUGAAAUGCGUAGAGAUCGGGAAGAACAUCGGUGGCGAAAGCGCUCUGCUGGACUGCAACUGACACUCAGGGACGAAAGCUAGGGGAGCGAAUGGG